UUGAAAGGGAAACGAUUGAAGUCAGUCGGACCUAUGGGUAAUCAGCCUUUUGGGUNNNNNUUUGUGGAGCGUGAGGAGUUAAACGCCUUCAUGCCUGCAUAUUCGUGCACUUUGGGUGUACUUGCCCGUAUGGUUGGUUAACAUCAAUUUUGGUGGUCAUAAAAUGACUGGAGGAAUGUAGCUUCGAUCUCGUAUUGAAGUGUUAUAGCCUUCGGUAGAUGUGAUGAUCGAGAUUGAGGAUUGCAACGGAUACCCUUCGGGGCUACCUGUCUGAUCUCUGAUCGUUGCUCUGGUGCCGAAAGCUUGCUUACGGUUAUCAAAGUCGAUGGUCAAUAGGUUAGAACGGGUUAAAUUCGUUAAGGAUGUUGACGUA
rnacentral:rRNA from 1 species